AGAUUAGCAUUCUCAUCUGGCUCUCCUUGUAUCAAAGAAUGGUACAUUCCCUCAUACAACUUCAAGCUCUUAUCCUCACUUGAAGCCUUCUCAUACAACAACUGGGAUGAUGUAGGGCACGUGACACCAUCCGAGGUGCCAUGGACUGUCAAAAACGGCGCCGUAACUCUGGAGAAAUUAUCUUGUAUAUGUUGGCACACCCUAGCAAGUUCUCUCAUGGUCCCCACCCUAGGCUUGCCUGUGUAUCUUCUAGGGUUUGAUGCUAUGAUCUUCAGCUUUUCUGGGUCCUUGAUCGUUUUCCCUACCAUUUUAUUGUCUGGCAUCGCUGCCCACGUGUCAGCCCAUCCAAAGAGUAGCCCAUACAUGAAUAGGUGUAACUUACUGGGUUUCAUUGGUUCUGGGAUGACAAAAAGUGGGGCCGAGAAAAUCAAGCCCGUCCACGUGUUGGGUUCCGAUUGGAAGUACAUUAGCAUUG
rnacentral:misc_RNA from 1 species